rnacentral:rRNA from 1 species
GACGAACGCUGGCGGCGUGCUUAACACAUGCAAGUCGAACGGAAAGGCCCUGCUUUUGUUGGGUUCUCGGGUGGCGAACGGGUGAGUAACACGUGAGUAACCUGCCCUUGACUUUGGGAUAACUUCAGGAAACUGGGGCUAAUACCGGAUAUGAUCUCCUGCUGCAUGUUGGUGGUUGGAAAGUUUCGGCGGUUGGGGAUGGACUGGCGGCUUAUCAGCUUGUUGGUGUGGUAGUGGCUUACGAAGGCUUUGACGGGUAGCCGGCCUGAGAGGGUGAACGGCCACAUUGGGACUGAGAUAGGGACCAGACGGCUACGGGAGGCAGCAGUGGGGAGUAUUGCACAAUGGGCGGAAGUCUGAUGCAGAAACGCAGCGUGCGGGAUGACGGCCUUCGGGUUGUAAACAGAUUUCGCAGGUGACGAAGCGUGAGUGACGGUAAUGGGUAAAGAAGCAACGGCUAACUACGUG